UAAAAUUUUUUCUCUCUAAGUUAUUUCUCUCUCCUAAGAUUUUUUAAAAUUUUGAGAAGAAUGAUGAUAAAUUUAAAUGAUCCUAGUGAUGGAUUUUGAUCUGUGAUCGCCAGACAGUAUACCGGCAUCCACCUUGAUCAGACCAAAUAUCUUUAGAUUUUAUCAUCCAUGAUUUUUUAUUAAAUUAUCCACAUGAUAAUUUCAGCAUGAUUUGAUCUGAUCGAUCGGAUUGUUGAGUCAUAUCAUCUGAAGAAUCCAAGAUGAAUUUUUCUCUCUCUAAAACUAUUUCUCUUUCUCUUGAUUGAUUUCUCUCUCUAAAAAGAUUAGUCAAUGAAAAUUUUUUUUUAAUAUUUCUGAUCUGAUGAAGAAUCUUGAUCCAUGAUUGUCGGACAACGUGCUGGCACUCAUCUUGAUCAGACCCAAUAUUUUUCAAUUUGAUUAUCUAUAAUCUUGAUUUAAAUAUGACUUGGAUUAGAUCAUUUUGAUCAUACCAAUCGAGAUGUUGGACUGUGGCACCUGAUUAAUUUGGAU
rnacentral:lncRNA from 1 species